rnacentral:rRNA from 1 species
GUGCCAGCCGCCGCGGUAAUACGGAGGGUGCAAGCGUUGUCCGGAUUUAUUGGGUUUAAAGGGUGCGUAGGCGGCCCGUUAAGUCAGUGGUGAAAGCCUCCAGCUCAACUGGAGAACUGCCAUUGAUACUGGCGGGCUUGAGUACAGACGAGGUUGGCGGAAUUGAUUGUGUAGCGGUGAAAUGCAUAGAUACAAUCAAGAACACCGAUUGCGUAGGCAGCUAACUAGGCUGUAACUGACGCUGAGGCACGAAAGCGUGGGGAGCGAACAGGAUUAGAAACCCGAGUAGUCC